CGAAUCCGCGCGGGAGAGACCGAGUCGAUAACCGUUGAGCUCGGCGCCGAAGGAGCAAGUCCUCCCCGGAACCUCUCAGGCACCCUGGACCGCGCGGAAGAG
rnacentral:ncRNA from 2 species